UACGGGGGGGGCAAGCGUUGUUCGGAAUUACUGGGCGUAAAGGUCUCGUAGGCGGCCAACUAAGUCGGAUGUGAAAUCCCCAGGCUUAACCUGGGAACUGCAUCCGAUACUGGAUGGCUUGAAUUCGGGAGAGGGACGCGGAAUUCCAGGUGUAGCGGUGAAAUGCGUAGAUAUCUGGAGGAACACCGGUGGCGAAGGCGGCGUCCUGGACCAAUACUGACACUGAGGAGCGAAAGCCAGGGGAGCAAACGGG
rnacentral:rRNA from 1 species